rnacentral:rRNA from 1 species
UACGGAGGUGGCAAGCGUUACUCGGAAUUACUGGGCGUAAAGCGUGCGCAGGCGGUUGUGCAAGACAGAUGUGAAAUCCCCGGGCUCAACCUGGGAACUGCAUUUGUGACUGCACGGCUAGAGUACGGUAGAGGGGGAUGGAAUUCCGCGUGUAGCAGUGAAAUGCGUAGAUAUGCGGAGGAACACCGAUGGCGAAGGCAAUCCCCUGGACCUGCACUGACGCUCAUGCACGAAAGCGUGGGGAGCAAACAGG